UAAUUGAAAGCUAGAGUAUCUUUUAGCCUUUAGGAAAUUACCAUGUAGUUGGAAAUGGAAAAGAAAAAGAAAGCUAUUGACUAGGAGAAAAUUCUGGAGUGUAAAAAGUUCUCUGUUUCUUCAUGUAUAAAUGUUCUUACCAUCACUAAGUGAAUAAGGAGCACCGAAGGUUUUACAAAAGCUUGUCCUUUGAUCUCUAAAUCCUUGCAAAUCAGUAAGUGCAAUUUGGUAUUUUCCAAAAAGGACAGAUCAUAAAAUGGCUUCUAAGCUUACCAAUGAAGAGCCGGGCAGCUUUCGAAAGAAGAAAAACUUGGAUAGUUGGAGAUUCCCUAAAAUUCCCAUUGAUCAAGUGUACAAGAAGAAAAUCUUUGGGAUUUUCCCAAGCUAUGCUAUAAAAGAUAGUGAAGAAACUAUCACAUUAAAAGCCACUAACCAAAAUGUAUCCAUUAAAUUACUUUCUAGAGAUUUCCUAAAAGGUUUCAUCAAGAAACAACAUAAGUUUAUGCACUUAGGUGUGGUCCAAAUAGCUAUUAAACCACUAAUGAGAGAUGGGAUUAGGAGCUCCUGUAAUAGUGAGCCUUAGAGAUGCUAGGCACCUUAACUUCGAAAACUCUUUGUUAGCACUUGUGGAAGCUAAUGUAUCUGAAGGUCCUUUCUAUUUUAAUUGCUUCCCUAAUUUUCGAUUUCUUUGGCGGAUGCAUCAUCGUUCGAAGUCCUUACCUUGAAUAUCAAGACUGGAGGAUACCUUUGGCAUUAACAUACAGGGUAGCGUGUAAGGCGAUGGUGGAUUUAAGCUCCGAGUCACUACAAGAGUCAGUUUUUGGUGAGACUGCUUAUUUUCAACAGGCUAUUGGACUCGAAGCACGACUAAAUGGAUGAGGUAGAAGUUCCAGAGUCAUGGACAUGUAAACCAGAACCUAAACCAAUGCAGCAGGCAAAUGUAUUCCAAACUCUUCCAGAUGGCCGUGUGAUAGUCAGGUUUCCAUCGACCAGAGAAGCACAAGAUCAUGAGUAGUGAUGAGAUGGUGUGGAGAUAUCUUCAUUCCCAGCCACAACUGGUAAAAAUCUGCUAAGGGUUGUUGUAAGAGUGUCAUAUAAUAAGCUUGAAUAAUACUAUUGAACAAUGUUGUAAUAUCUUAUAAGGUUUGUGAAGGAUGAAUUUAUAGUUUGUUUUAGUAUGUCUUCGUUACAUAGGACUAGCUAGCAGUAGUUAGCACUUAGUAGUAGCAGCCCCUUGUACUGUUUGAUUCCUCUGGCAUAUGUUAUUUGAAGGUAACAACAAUAAUAAUGUCAUUAGACAUUAGUGUUAAA